rnacentral:rRNA from 1 species
AGCGUAGACGGCAAGGCAAGUCUGAUGUGAAAACCCGGGGGCUCAACCCCGGGACUGCAUUGGAAACUGUCAAUCUAGAGUACCGGAGAGGUAAGCGGAAUUCCUAGUGUAGCGGUGAAAAUGCGUAGAUAUUAGGAGGAACACCAGUGGCGAAGGCGGCUUACUGGACGGUAACUGACGUUGAGGCUCGAAAGCGUGGGGAGCAAACAA